UGGCGGACGGGUGAGUAAUGUCUGGGAAACGUGCCUGAUGGAGGGGGAUAACUACUGGAAACGGUAGCUAAUACCGCAUAACGUCGCAAGACCAAAGAGGGGGACCUUCGGGCCUCUUGCCAUCGGAUGUGCCCAGAUGGGAUUAGCUAGUAGGUGGGGUAACGGCUCACCUAGGCGACGAUCCCUAGCUGGUCUGAGAGGAUGACCAGCCACACUGGAACUGAGACACGGUCCAG
rnacentral:rRNA from 1 species